rnacentral:rRNA from 1 species
CGCUAGAUAUUUACUCUUACAAAAGCCCAUGCUGAGCAUGAGCACUUGGAAUUCCCCUAUCACACUUUCGUGWAUUGUAAAGUUUUCGCGCCUGCUGCGCCCCGUGGGGCGGGGGCGGCGGGACGGGCGCGGGGCGCGGCGGGC